GCUGGGAGUGGUGACGCACACCUGUCAUCCCAGCACCUCGGGAGGCUGAGGCAGGAGGAUCAAGAGUUCAAAGUCAGCCUCAGCAAAAGUGAGGCCCUAAGCAACUCAGUGAGACCCUGUCUCUA
rnacentral:sRNA from 1 species